AUGUGUGUGCGUAUGUAAGCUUGCGCUACAUAGAGGAGUGUAAUAGUAAAUACAAAACGGCCGGGCAGGGGCAGGUCAUUUACCUCUGCACCGCCCUAGUCCGGCACUUUGUACUCUGAGUGGCUUGUACUGCUGUUUGCGCUUCACUACAACAUUCCAGGGCAAAGCCGCGCAAUGAUUUGCAUCCUGCUAGUGGCAGGACAUGGGACACUCCUGGAAAGCCACAUUAAGAAUGACCAGAGUGGUUUAUACAGUUUCUUGGAAGAUGUACCCAAAGCACUUUUGCCUGGUGUUGGUGGUAUGAAAAUUUUGGAUUUUUGGUGGAAGGCUGUAAACACGAGGCAACUUUUCAGCGAAGUGUACCUGGUGACAAAUGCAGACAAGUAUAAGCACUAUGAACGAUGGGCAACAGCCAAUGACUUCCCUGUAGAAAAUAUCAUUAAUGAUGGUACUACUACUUAUGAGACUAGACUUGGGGCAGUUGCAGAUCUCGAGCUUGCCAUUUCCAGCAAGAAAUUGAAUGAUGACAUCAUGUUGAUUGCUGCGGACAUGUUGUGUGCUGAUCAGAAUUUCGACAUGGCCCAAGUGAUUAAAUUCUUUCAAUUAAAGGGUGGCGAGCUUGCAAUUUAUUAUGAGUUGGAAGAAAGUGAGAGUACAUCUUCAAGAGGAAUAGUUGAAGUUUGUCCAGAUACACUUAGGAUUAAACGUUUUUUUGAAAAACCUCAGUUUGGAGAAACUUCCUCUAGAAUGGCAAGUGUUGUCUUUUAUUGCUUUCAACGAGAGAGCCUACAUACACUGGAAACAUUUUUAACUCAGUUCCCAGCUACAGAAGACAGAGUUUUAGGAAAGUAUAUGGAAUGGCUUAUAAACACUGCUAAGGUUCCAGUGUAUGGAAUGAAACUACCUACUGGCUUUCAGCUGAUAGGGCAAGUGGGGCUGUCGGACUACACCAAGUGGCUAGCUCACUAUUCUUCAUUAAAAAAUGAACCUAACGUUAAAGCAAUCACUUGUCGAGCAUAUGCAAGAAUUGGAGUAAUGGGGAAUCCAUCUGAUGGCUACUUUGGAAAGACAAUUUCGAUGUCAAUUGCUAACUUUUGGGCCGAAGUCACCAUAUCUGAGAGCAAAAACCUGGUACUGGUUCCACAUGCAUUAAAUGAUCCAACUGAAUUUGGUAGUUUACUGGAUUUAUACUACAUAAGCAGAAAGGAAGGAUACUUGGGGGGCUUGAGGUUGUUGCAGGCCACAUGCAAGAAGUUUUAUCAGUUCUGUUCUGAAAAAGGAAUUGCCCUUUCUAAACAGAAUUUUACUUUGAAGUACAAUGUCAACAUCCCAAGGCAAGUGGGUUUGGCUGGAAGCAGUGCAAUUGUUUCCGCAACACUGAAAUGCCUCAUGAAAUUUUAUAAUUUAACUGAUGAUGAUAUGCCGAAAUCAAUAAGACCAAAUUUCAUCCUGGAAGUUGAAAAAGAAGAACUUUUUAUAACUGCUGGCCUGCAGGAUCGAGUUGUUCAGGUCUACGAGGGUCUUGUUUAUAUGGAUUUCAACAGAUCUUUAAUGGAUGAACAUGGGUUUGGAAACUAUGUGCAAAUGGAUAUUCAAUGUGCACCUCCAUUCUGGCUUGCUUACUUGAGAGAUCCAAGUGAUUCAGGAGUGAUUCAUAGCAAUGUCCGUCAGAGGUGGCUAAACGGGGAUCCAGAUGUUAUUGAGGCAAUGCAGUUAUUUGCAGAGCUGACAGAUAAAGCUAAAGAUGCUAUGGAGCAGAAGAAUUGGCACGAAUUAGCAGAAUUAAUGAAUAAGAACUUACAAUUAAGGAGAUCUAUUUUUACAGAUGCAUGCUUAGGUCCGGGAAAUCUGAAAAUGAUUGAAAUUGCAAAACAGAAUCGCCAAGAUCUUCCAACACUAAAUCUAAACACACAACUGAUCUACAGCACUCAUAGCAUGGUUCAGCUGUAAAGCUUCCUGGCAGUGGCGGGGCAGUUAUUGGAUUAUGUUUUGAUCAGAAAAAAAUGAGUGAGCUGAAGAAAGCAUUUCAAGAAGCUGGCUUUGUAUUCUGUCAGAUUGUUCCCUAUUGCCCAGGAAGCACAAGUGAGCAGAAGUGAAGAGCUUCCAGCACAAAAAAAGAUCUUCUGGCAUAGCAUUGUCUUUAUUAUCUUACAGCAUUUCCACGACACUGACAGAUAUGCUCUGACAGUUGUAUGGCUUUGUCCUUAUAAAUGUUUCAGUCUUUUAAGAUUAAAACAGUUAAGAGACAACUGUAAAUGUGUAAAUAAAAUAUAAAUUUUUGCAUGCAUUGUCUAUAAAUAAUCUGAAUUAGUUUUUAGUCAAUAUUAUAAAGUAAAAACUUCUUACACAAUUUCUCUGUGUUUUACCUGUGGUGAUUCUCAUUACCCACAAUGGAAAGGAAGUCUUGGGUUUUUUGGUGCUGCUAUAAAACAUCGCAUUUGUCAUUGUCCUGGAGCUAAUAAAAGCU